rnacentral:lncRNA from 1 species
CCGACACCGACGCCGACGCCGACGCCGUGGUGAGUAGGAUAGCUCUACUUAUUCUUCGAAUAGUCGAGCUAAAAAACAAAAAAAGCAAGGUAGGGGCGAUGCUAUGGUUUUAGAAGAGCAAGCUAAAGCAGCUUCUGCAGCACUUCCAAACAACCAAGCUUGAUGCUGAAGAUGUUCACCAAGAAUGAAAACGUUGAAGGUGAUGCUGCCUGUAGAAAUGCGCAUACUUGAGGGUAUAGCACUAAAUGUGUGUCACUAGACAGACUAGAUAUUAAACCUUGCUGAGCACUACAGUUACAUGAAGCUGGUAAUGAGUAUGCUGAGGAAACCAUGUUUCCAUACUACAUACAUCAUUUGUCCUGCUGUGAGAGCUGGAUGUACAAGCCCCACCAAACAAUGACUUUUAGUCUGUGCUUUACAGAGAAAAUCACCAUGGACAUAGUCACAAUUAUCAAACGCGGAAGUAUUCUGGCAGUGGGUCAGUCUGUUAUUAGAAAGACAGAUAGCAUUGAAAAUUACUGGGCAGUCUGGAACAAACAAACAAAGGUCCAUGGGAGAACAAAAAAAAAAAUGGUUCAUUUUCCUACCAAGAACCUUCAACCAGACAUAGUCAGAGCCUUUAAUGAUGGCAACAUCAACAUCACAAACACCUGCUAGAUCUGCAUCUAUAACUCCAGCAUCACCAGUAUCAACAGUGGUGAAAGACAUACACCACCAGCUGCACUUGCUACCUUACAGACAGUCACCAGUCAAUCAAAUACAGGGGAAAAGAGAAUUGGACAUGCUGUUGCUGCUAACGGAAGUGUCUUCAGACGAGUUGUGUAAUAAAUGUUAUAAGCAAGAGAGAAGCAGCAUGCGUUGGGUGGAGUGUGAGCAAUGUGAAAAGUCACUAGUUUCAUGCAACAUGCAUGGAAAUAGGAAGGAAAACUUCAACGGAAUGAAAUAAGAUGGGAAUGUUGUUAAUUAAUCAAUUAUGACUGAUCAGCGUUGGGUUCUCUAUAAUCAUUGCCAAUUUCUCAAAAUUAAGUGCAAAUCCCAAAACAUCUGCCACAAUGUUAGAAAAUUGUCAACAUUAAAUAGUUAAAAUUGCAGAAAGGUCCUUAGGACUGCUUAAAUUUCAGACUGAACUCUUAAACAAAUAGUUUCUUUUACAUUGUACAGUAUUCCAAAGUGUGUUAAUGGGUAUAUCUGACAUUGUUUUUGUGAUACUUUUGAGAAAACAAGAAAAUUGUCAAUCACAGUCUUGUGAAGGAUAUUUUUAGUUCUGAAUCAAUUUCUUAUUCAUGAUUUGUGGGUUUCCUGUUUGUCUCAAUAAUAUACCAUUGAUGAUAAGGUAAGUAAUGCCAGUGUAUCCAUAGGGAAAGUUAGAAAUAUUUCCGUCACAGCUGUCGAAACUUAUGAAUACCCUGUUUGUCUGUCAUACAAGUUUAAAAUUUGCCUCAUAGUUCUGACUGUUCAACUACAUUAUGUGUCCAUGGGACACA